AGUGGGAAGAAAUUUGACGGUACCACUCGAAUAAGCCCCGGCUAACUACGUGCCAGCAGCCGCGGUAAUACGUAGGGGGCGAGCGUUGUCCGAAGUUACUGGGCGUAAAGCGCGCGUAGGCGGUUAUUCAAGUUUGGGGUGAAAGGUUCAGCGCUCAACGUGAACAGUGCCUUGGAUACUGGAUGACUUGAGUCUGGAAGGGGAAGGGGAAUUCCUGGUGUAGCGGUGAAAUGCGUAGAUAUCAG
rnacentral:rRNA from 1 species